rnacentral:rRNA from 1 species
GGGUCAGUAGGUUGGUCGUGCCACCGGUACGUACUGGUCUCACUGAUUCCUCCUUCCUGAAGAACCGUAAUGCCAAUAAUUUGGUGUUGCGGGGAAGCAGGACUGUUAGUUUGAAAAAAUUAGAGUGUUUAAAGCAAGCUAACGCUUGAAUACAUUAGCAUGGAAUAAUGAAAUAGGACGAUCGAUCCUAUUUUGUUGGUUUCUAGGAUUGACGUA